rnacentral:rRNA from 1 species
AUUAAACGCUGGCGGCAUGCCUUACACAUGCAAGUCGAACGGCAGCACGGGGGCAACCCUGGUGGCGAGUGGCGAACGGGUGAGUAAAGCAUCGGAACGUGCCCUGGAGUGGGGGAUAACGUAGCGAAAGUUACGCUAAUACCGCAUAUUCUGUGAGCAGGAAAGCAGGGGAUCGCAAGACCUUGCGCUCUGGGAGCGGCCGAUGUCGGAUUAGCUAGUUGGUGGGGUAAAGGCCUACCAAGGCGACGAUCCGUAGCGGGUCUGAGAGGAUGAUCCGCCACACUGGGACUGAGACACGGCCCAGACUCCUACGGGAGGCAGCAGUGGGGAAUUUUGGACAAUGGGCGAAAGCCUGAUCCAGCCAUGCCGCGUGAGUGAAGAAGGCCUCGGUUGUAAGAC